AUGUCCUGGAGCGAGAGAGUUACAAGGCGGGCUCUUUACCGGCCUGAUGGUACAAGGAAGAAGCUUUCAAAGUCGUUAUUAGAACCCGAAAGGCUUAACCAUACACGCCUAUUGGUUCAAGCUCUACUGGACAAAUAUAACGAGGACCACAAUCUUUUGGGGAAUCUCGCAUAUGAACUCAAAGAUAUCGUGUGCAUCCAGUCAGUUUGUGAGGGCAGCCCCCAUAAGUACGACUGGUACUAUCAUCUCAAUUUCACUACAAGGGCUAAAGGAGAUGAUGAAUUUCACAGUGGCACCGAUAAUCUGUUCUUUGCGGAAAUCACACAUAUUGGAGGACCAUAUAAAGAUUUUGCGCUCAGCUGUUUCUACAUGCUUAAAUCUAAUGAUAAUGGUCACUGCCGCGGUUGUACGUAUAACAAAAGGGUUAACUUGAAGCACCCUAAUGAUGCUGAUGAAUACUCUGGUGGUCACUUGGAUCCAUAUUUGCCAUACGGUGGUGACACUAAUAUUCAACAUAGCAGCUCUGAUGAGAAUUUGGACGCCGAGGAGGAAGCUAGGCUGCAAGCUAAGGAGGAGGCUAGGGUAAAGCGUAUAUACGCGUGCCUUGAUGAUCCUACUUUUUUUGGAGAAAAUGAGAAGGCGCUUCAAAGAUGA
rnacentral:rRNA from 1 species